AUUGAACGCUGGCGGCAUGCUUUACACAUGCAAGUCGAACGGUAACAGGCCUUCGGGCGCUGACGAGUGGCGAACGGGUGAGUAAUGCAUCGGAACGUGCCCAGAGGUGGGGGAUAACGCAGCGAAAGCUGUGCUAAUACCGCAUAUUAUCUGAGGAUGAAAGCGGGGGACUAAGCAGCAAUGUUUGGCCUCGCGCCUUUGGAGCGGCCGAUGUCAGAUUAGGUAGUUGGUGGGGUAAAGGCCUACCAAGCCGACGAUCUGUAGCUGGUCUGAGAGGACGACCAGCCACACUGGGACUGAGACACGGCCCAGACUCCUACGGGAGGCAGCAGUGGGGAAUUUUGGACAAUGGGCGCAAGCCUGAUCCAGCAAUGCCGCGUGCAGGAAGAAGGCCUUCGGUUGUAAACUGCUUUGUUACGGAACGAAAAGGACUCUGGUUAAUACCUGGGCUCAUGACGGUACCGUAAGAAUAAGCACCGGCUAACUACGUAG
rnacentral:rRNA from 1 species